ensembl:snRNA U2 U2 spliceosomal RNA
GUUGCUUCAUGGCUUUUUGGCUAACUUCAAGUGUUGUAUCUGUCCUUAUCUGAGGACAAUACAUUAAAUGGAUUUUGGAACAGGGAGAUGGAAUAAGAAUUUUCCUCCACUCCACGCAACAACCUGGUCAAUUAUUGCAGUACCUCCAGAAAUGGUGCACCCCUC